GCCGAGGUAGUCUAGUGGUAAGGCGCAAGCCUGGAAAGCUUGUGGGGCUUACGCCCCUCGGGAGUUCGAAUCCCCCUCUCGGCG
rnacentral:tRNA from 1 species